rnacentral:rRNA from 1 species
CCUACGGGUGGCAGCAGUAGGGAAUAUUGCUCAAUGGGGGCAACCCUGAAGCAGCAACGCCGCGUGGAGGAUGAAGGUUUUCGGAUUGUAAACUCCUUUUGUUAAAGAAGAUAAUGACGGUAUCUAACGAAUAAGCACCGGCUAACUCCGUGCCAGCAGCCGCGGUAAUACGGAGGGUGCAAGCGUUACUCGGAUUCACUGGGCGUAAAGAGCGCGUAGGCGGGAUAGCAAGUCAGAUGUGAAAUCCUAUGGCUUAACCAUAGAACUGCAUUUGAAACUGUUAUUCUAGAGUAUGGGAGAGGUAGGUGGAAUUCUUGGUGUAGCGGUAAAAUGCGUAGAGAUCAAGAGGAAUACUCAUUGCGAAGGCGACCUGCUAGAACAUAACUGACGCUGAUGCGCGAAAGUGUGGGGAGCAAACAGGAUUAGAUACCCCAGUAGUC